GGGGGGGGGGGGGGGGGGGGGGGGGGGGGGGGGGGCGGGCGGGGGGGCCCGGGGGGGGGGGGGUGCUCGAGUGGCGAACGGGGGAGGAACACGUGAGUAACCUGCCCUUGACGUUGGGAUAACUUCCGGAAACUGGGGCUAAUACCGGAUAGGAGCUCCUGCUGCAUGGGGGGGGUUGGAAAGUUUCGGCGGUUGGGGAUGGACUCGCGGCUUAUCAGCUUGUUGGUGGGGUAGUGGCUUACCAAGGCUUUGACGGGUAGCCGGCCUGAGAGGGUGACCGGCCACAUUGGGACUGAGAUACGGCCCAGACUCCUACGGGAGGCAGCAGUGGGGAAUAUUGCACAAUGGGCGGAAGCCUGAUGCAGCAACGCCGCGUGCGGGAUGACGGCCUUCGGGUUGUAAACCGCUUUCGCCUGUGACGAAGCGUGAGUGACGGUAAUGGGUAAAGAAGCACCGGCUAACUACGUG
rnacentral:rRNA from 1 species